GCGUUCGGUUUUUCCCCGCGGUUCUCUCGGGCCACAUCUAUAUGGAGUUUCUAAUCGGGACUUGGGAUGUCCUUAGUUUGGAUAUGCCUUUAUUUGCUGUUGUAUGGCAUGAAAAUGAUUGAUGUAUAAAGAGACACUUUCUCUUUGUUUUCUUCUCCCUCCCCAACCCCCUAUCUCUCUCUCUCUCUCUUUUAGUUUUUUAUAUUGUAUUUGCUAUACUUGGUUUCACAAAGGUUAACAUAAAAAAGGUUCUAAAUUUUAUAAUGUCCUUUUGAUUUCAUGAUAGUUCUAGAGAUUCCUGCUCUGAUUAUUCUUUUGGGCUAUAUUUCUUGAUGAUUUUUUUUAUUUGUUUCAUAAAUAUCUUGAAUUGAUUAUUGACUAAGGUAGCAUCAUAUUCCAGAACAAAGAUAUGGCUGGAGUUAAGAUAUGGUUGUACAAGGGGAAAUAUGACCUUUCAUGGAUUAUGUGAAGUGACUUUUUUCCCAUAUUGUUUUUUCAGCCUUGCAAAACUCUGUGCUGGUGGGGGUCUUUUUCUUCUUCCUAGGGAUUUAGGGGAGUGUUGCAUACUCACUGUUUUGCCAAUCUUUAUUCUAGUUGAAUCCUUAUCAUAGGCAGUCUGUCAAUGAUCUUGUAGGAAUUGGAGUAUCUUGGACGGUUCAUUUGUCAAUAUGUUUUGUUUAUUCAUUUAUAAUUCACAUGUUCCCAAGCAUUGUUUUAGGCUUUAUUGCUUGGUGAUUCUUUUGUUUAUCUGUAUCAUGGUUUCAUCUUUGACUAAUGUGGCAUCAUAUACUAAAAUACAAUUUGGAAGAGUUGCAGUUGAGAGAAGGUUUUACAGAGGGUGUUUAUAAUCUUAUAUGGAUUGUCUCUAUUAAUUUUUUUCCCCCUAGUGGUUGUUGCAGCACUGCAGGAAUCUCUAAUUCAUGGGUAUCUGGAAGUAUGUUUAACUUGAUGAUUUUCUAAGUAUCACUGUUACUAGUUGUGUGCUUUUUAAGGUUUGGCAUGUUAAGUUCUAGGCUUGGUUAGCAGCUCAUUUCUCCUACAGUAUGGUCUGUUUAUUUCCUAUAUUAUUGAAUUCCUCAUCAUGGACUUAUUUGCAGGGACCUGCACACAACCUAGGUUUUUAACAAUUAAUACUUUUUUGUGAGGUUCCUGACAUUGAAUUCUGUUUCAAUUACCAACUCAACCACUUGGCAUAUGAAUGUUCAAUAAAUAUAUGUGUGGUUCACGUGCUCUUUUUUGUUCCUUAAUGCUUGUCUUGUUAUAUAAUCCUUAUUUUUUCUAAAAUUAUUAACUAAAUGAUGAUAUUAAUCAGCAUCUUUGUUGCUUUAUUUUUAGCAUUGGAAUGAUGUUUGCUGCUCAGGAUCUCCCCCUCCCCACUUCCUUUAAGAAUAAUACACUGAUGUGGUACCAUGAGCCAAAGAAAUGAUAUAUAGGUGCUAGAGUCUAAUAUUUCAUCUUCAGUUCUGGGUUUUCUUAUCUUCGAUACUGAGGUACAUAAAGUAGUGCAUUUUUGGGAGUCCCACUAGCAGGCCAAAAUAUUUUCUUGCUUCUAUUGCAGUUUCACAGGUGGCUUUGCUGAAGAGGAUUCUAUUUUUUUAAAUGUCUGGUAUCGUGUAUAUUGCAGUUAUUUUGAUCCGGUGUUUAUUGUCUAAUGAUGCAGUAAAUUAUGUUUUAGUUUGCAUGUUGGGUCAAAGUUGGAGGGUAUUUCAGAAAUUCUGGAUUUGGUUGAUUGUAAUGAGUUUCAUUCUGUUAUGUCAUGGACAACUGCUCUUCUUCUGUUUCUUUAACCAAGACCAUUAUCCAGUCACACUCCUUGGUGGUACAGCUAUGUGGAUGGGGUAUGCUUGAGAUAUAGCUUUCAUGAAUGAGGUAUUUCAUCAUGCAGUGAAGUCAUGCAUAUUAUAUAUUAUUGCCCAAGCUGCUUAUUUGUUUCUUCUUUGGAGCAACAGAGGUGACACCAUGAGGACUUGAGAUAACGCCCUCAAUUCAAGGGUUCUCCUAUCUUUGAUACUGAUGUGGAUUAAGUAAGCAGUUUCCAAGUCCAAUCAGCAAGCCUAAACUACAGUCUCUGCUUUUGUUGCAGUUCUAAGGAGGUUUUGCCAACAAAUAUUCUUUCUUUAUAGGCGACCCUCGGUAUCGUGUAUGUUGCACUUACUGUCUUUCUAGUCUCUAUUGUCUGAUAUGUUUUAUUUAUGAUUGCUAAGUGGAAUUGUGCUCUUAGUUUGCAUGCUUGGCUACAGAUGGUGGGAAUUCUCAAGAACUCUGGGUUUGGUUGAUUGCAAUGAGCUUCAUUUCCUUUCCUUGUAUGUGAGGUUCUCUUUUCCUUCUGUUUCUUUCAUCAGUAUGCUGAUCCAGUCCUCAGUUUUCCUUAGUGAUAAUGCUACUGUGAUAGGGUUGGCUUUGAUGAGUGAGGUUUUUCAUCUUGUAGUGAAGGUAUGAAAUGAUAUAGCUACAGUGGAUGGAUUGGCUUCAUAUAUGGUUUUCAGGAGCGACAUUUUUCAUUAUGUAGUGAAGAUAUGAGAUGAUAUAUUUCCCAGGUUGCUUACUCAGGACAAAUAGUGAUCACUGUUUCUUCAGUUCCAGUCCUGCAAGAGCUUGUAGUGGUGGGGACAUUUUUUGUAGCGGGCAGUUCACAAGAACUUGGACCUUGUCAAAUUUUCAUGGAUCUCAUUUAUGGUCAUCCGCCUUUUAGGUUCUUGAAGAAUUGCUUUUGGCAUUCAAGUUGGUUUAUGACCUGCCAUUGUAUAGUGCAAUAUGCGUGAGAGUUUUGACAUGCUUUUAAUUUUUCUUUUGGUUGGUCAGUGUGCUUUUUUUGUGGGGCACAGUGGCAAGGUUGUGACAUUGAAUGAAUGUUUGGUCCAGGAGCACUGUGUGAUUGUGAUAGGUAAACUCUAUUUUGGGGUAACAUUGAAUGUUUAUUUUGUACAUAAGAUGGGCUUUUUCACUAUAUGGUGUUUGAUAUGUGAUUUGGAUGUAAUCAGUUAAGUUAGGCAUGUUCAUUGACUGGCAGUAUGCUUUCUUCUAGGUUAUGAUUCAUUUCUUUGUCAUUAAAGUUGUACUUUUUUGCAACACAUCUUAUCAAUUUAUGGUAGUCGAGCUUUCUGUCUCAUGUCUCACCGGCAAGCUUGAUUAGUUUAUGACUUUCCAGAGUGGUACAGCAUGCUAGUGUAACAACAUAGAACUACAAUUAAGACAGUGGGUUAGCUUGAUUUGUCCCCAUCCUUUUUGUGGAUCACGUAAAAUUCAUCUCUACUUUAGUAGCCGUUCUGCAUAUUUUGCUGAAGGGAUUUUUUUUGUUGGAAUGUAGUUUUUGUCCAUCAUUUUAUGUUGUUUGCUGACCUAUAUUGUCAUGAUGACUUGAUGGUUCUUGUCUCUGAUAUUUCAAGAAGUAAAUUGGAGUCCAAGGAAUCAUCUAUUGCCAAGGUUCAUCAUUAGUUUUAUCAUUCUCAUGGGUAGUCUCUUUGGUUUAGUUACUAACUGGUUCUCAUGCAUGAUACCUUUGGGUUUGACUGCUAGAUGGUACUCUGAUUUAUCUGAAUGGUAUUGACUAGUAUCUUGAUUAAACCACUAAUUGUAUACUACAAAGUCACUGAUUUUGUGCGUAUUAGUUAAAGGGACUCCACCUUUUUAUCUAGGGCAUCCUCCCUCAUUAUCUUCUCAACAUCCAGGCUCCUUUUGUCUGAAAGGAGUUCCAUAUUUUUAUGAACAGGACUUGACCUUGAUGGAGAGUUUGGAAAUGUAUCCUUUGUAUCGGAAUGCAGCCAAAAGGAUGGGGACUAAUACAGGAGACAGAAAGGAAAGGGUGCGGACAAGGCUUCACAGGAAAGUAAUUCAUAGCUGGUCAAGAUGGAAUGGAAAAGAGAACAGUGACUUCUUGGAUUGCUUUUUUCUUGCCUAUUGAAGACCAUGCAAUAUUGGAGUAAUUGACUGUGCUUAAAGUGUCUUUAGGUAUUCUCUGUCUCAUUUCUAUAUGCUUUCACUUCUUCGUUAUCUUACCAGUGGACUACAGAAAGAGUUAUCUUGGCAAGCUAGAUGAGAACAGAAAGAGUUAUCUUGGCAAGCUAAAUGUCAGUUUCCAGAGAUUUGGACAUCGGUAAAGUCUUUUCUGGCAGUGUGCUUUCAGAGUUUAUUAUACGAGAACAAUGGUUGCCUUGUCCAAGUAUCUUGGGAGCCACAAACAUGGACUUCUUGUAUUGCUUUUGUUGCCUAUUGGAGUUUUUGACUGUAUUUGAAGUAUCUUUAGGUUAUUUUCUCUCCAAUUUAUUUGAGCUUUCACUUCUUAGUUAUCUUGGCAAUGUGGAUGCUAGUUUCCGGGGAUCUGGACACUGGUAUAGUCUUUUCUGGCUGUGUGCUUUCAGAGACUAUAUUGUACCAGAACAAUGACUCUCUUGCAACUGUCAUGGAAGUUGAUGGAUAGAAGUGUUUAGUAAGUGGCACUUUCUAUUAACUUGUUGGGCAUCUGGAUCCAUCUUCUUCCAUUUUCCUUUCUUUUCCUUCUUGGCUAAUGUCAUCAAAAAAAAAGACAAAGGGUAUUUCUUAUCUCUGUUGAUGCGGAUCAAUCAAAAUACAUUUCUCAGUUUCUAUGGCAGGCAGAAUUUAUUAUCCUUGUUUUGGUCGAAUUUCACAGAGGUUUUGCUGUAGCAGGCUCUUUUCAUUGGAGGAAGCUUUUGCUAUUGGGCGUUGCUAUUAUUUGUCGUGUCAAUGAUUUGGUGGUCUAAAUGAUUUUGGUGAUUUAUGCCGUUUUUCAAUCAGUGAACAGAUCUGGGUCCUUAUGCACACCUUGGGCUGUAAUCAAAAGAACACUGUUAGAAAUUUCAUUUUUCUGGAAAUUCUAGAUUUGGAUAUUUGCAAAGAGCUUCAUUGUCUUCCCCUAUAGUCAAGGUUUUCCUUUCUUUAAAUAUUCGAAGUCAAAAUUAUUUGAAGUUAUCAGCCACCGAGAUUUCAUAAUCAAUUUCAUUAUUUUCAUCAUGUAUUAUGGUUAAUAUGUCCAUGUUUUAUUGCUAAGUGAUCCUCUUCUCCCUGGCUCAAUCAGCAAAUUUCUGCAGCGACAAUAUUGACUGAAGCAGUUAUGUGAACGGGUUGGCUCUAGACAUAAUUCUCAUGAAGGGGGUUUUACCUUAAAGAUUCUUGUACGUAUUUUGUUAAAUGACAUUUAUUUUUUAGUCUUCUUACCAAAAGUUAUUAUUGUUUCUUGUUUCUUUGCAGCCUCUUGAGAGCUUGUAAUGGUGAAGGCAAUAUUUGUUUAUGGGGUUCUUCCAAUUUGACUUUUGUAGAAUCUACAAAUUCCUUUUCCUUAGCCAUCUGAAUAGUUAUAUUGGUUGUUGAUUUGGAUAGAUUAUGAAGAACUCCGGACUUGGUUAAAUUUCAACAGAUUUCUUCCAUAACUGACGCUGAUUUUUGCAUUUCAAUCGGUUCAGAAAAUACCUGAUCAAUGACUGUUAUAGGGGUUAUGAGUUCCUUUUUGUUAAUUAGCCAUCUGAAUGGGUAUCUUGGCUGUUAAUUUGGGUAGAUUAUAAACUUGGAAUUCGUAACUGAGGUGAUCUUGUUCUGAUUUUCCCCCCAAUCAAAGUUUGUUCUCAGAAUAUCCCUUUCGUUCCUGCUAUUGAAUAUAAUGCUGUUUGUGCAAGAAUUCUGGCACACAGUGUUAGCUUUUUGUGAUAGGUAGGAGCCAGGAUGUUACUACAAAAAUGUUUGUUUGGUGUUUUUCAUUCUGAGGUUGGUUAUUUUGGUCGCUCCUUAUUUAUUUUUCUUGUAUUCUUCUAUCAAUGUUCUCUUUGUUAUCAUUUCAUUAUUCUGUUAUUUUAUUAUUUUUACCUGCACACACAAACAGUAGCUGCCUUGCCAUGACAUUGAAGGCUGUGAACUGUUAAAAUAUUAGAUUUUUAGGUUCCGAGUUUCAUCUGUUGUUUGAUCUUUUCUUGGUAGCUUGCUUCUGAAAAAAUUACAUAUUUGCAUCCAAAUAAUUUCUCCUCAGUUAUGGUCAGUAUCCUGUUCACAGAGGCUGGAGUUCGAUGCUUUUCAUAGUGGCCCUGUCAAGAUAGACCAUGAUAUCCUCCAUUAUUGUGGUGGUGUCUGGUCAUCUUGAAGCCACCUGACUAUUACUCAGUUUCCACUCGUUCUCGUGGCUUUCUAUUCUUUGUCACAUUAUUGCAAAACCUUUGAUCAUGAACUUUUCGAACUAAGAGUUGUGUGAGAAGUUUGCACUCUCUUGAUCCCCUGGGGCUGGCUGCGCUCUAGUUCCCUUUGCUUUGCCAGAAAUCACUCUGUUGGAUCGAUAGAUCAAAUUCAUUCAACAAAGUGGAAAGACAACGAAAGCUGUGGAUUGACCAUUUUGCUAGGCGAAAAGUCUCCUUCGAAGGAAAGUUCGAUGUAUGGAAGAAGAGGUCUCGUCAACUUGAAGCCGCUAAAGCACUCCGAACGGCCUUUGAUCACCUUCCCUAUUGCAAAGAAAUAUUUUUGAAGGUCAUUUACUACCAGUGUAUUCCAUCAUUCUUGUGUAAUCUCGUCAAUACCAUUUUGAUUUCUGUGCUAAUUGAUACCGUUAAUUUAUUCCAUCAAUAUCUAAAUUCAGUCACCAACUUAACUCAUUGCCCAAAUAGCGGGAUUUUUUGUGCUUUUCUUUAUACCUGAUUGGUUACUUAUCACUUGAUUUGGUAUCUUAGACUGUAGAAGUGGAUAUUUGUGGUUUAGUGGUUCAUGUCCAAUGCUUAGGAAUUUUUCAAGAAAUCUUUUUUCGGAAUUGGGACUAUCUUAUUUAGAUUGCUUUUCCUUGUCAGUUGUUUUGGUUCGUGCCAUGGUAUCUUGUGGGACCAUGCAGGAAGUACAGGAGGCUUUUGUUAUUCAUAUUGUAGUAAUUGUUUGCUAAAGGCUCUCGGUUAUUAGGGCUUCUUAGGAUGCAAACCUGCAGGAUUCUUGGAAGAUUCUGGAUUUGGUUAGCUGCACAUACUGUUAUUUUCUUCCUAUGGUGGUGAUGUUCUUUUCUUUCUUCUGAGAUCAAUUUGUUCAACUUUCAUGGAUGUCAUCGGCUGCUCUGUUCUUAUACUUGGAUGUCAUCUCCAUGUAUGCUGAUUAAUAUCUUUCCAUGCUAUGAUCAACAAUGUGUGUUCACAUCUAAGUAAUUCUCUUUUUUGAUCAGUAUUUUUAUUCAAUCAACAACUAAUCAAUUGCUUGGCUUGAGAUAUUUUCAUUAGUGAUGUGGACUAUAUCAGGUAUAGCAUUUCAGUCCUCACAAAAAUGAAGCAGCAUUUAUUUCCUAGAUCAUUUGCAGCAGGCAGUAUUUAUUUUCUUUUUGCUUCAUUGGGAGGAGAUUACAUGGGGAUCCGGCAGGUUCUUGAAAUUCAUAAAUUAGUUAUCUGAUUCAUACUUGAGGUUGUAGAAUGAGGAAGACUUUGGAUGUCUGUGACCUAGUUUAAAAAUUUAUGAUUUUAUUGCAACUCAGGAGAGGAACAAUGAAUGGGAGAGAAGUGAUUCAUCAGUAUCAAGGGAAUAGCCAAGGAGGAAUGGAAUUGCAAUAAGGGUUCAUAGGCCAGCCAAAUGUUUAAUUAAUGAAGGAAUAUGACUAUGUAGCUGUCGACUUCUUGGAAUUGUGCUUGCCCAAGGACUAAGCAUUAUCAAGGUGGCUAUGUCUUGUUUAUAUCUUAUUUGGACUUCGAGAUCGCUUAUUAUCAAGAUGUUUUCUUUCUUGGACUGUUCUUCAGUUGUUUUACUAAAUAUUUUCACCGUGCUCGUCAUGCGAUUAUAUCUGGUGCUGUGCAUUCAGAAGUUUUGGAUAGAAUAACUAUUUGUGGGCAAGCCAGAUAUUCAAUCAACAAGAGGGAAUGCUAGCAAUUCCGAGGGAGAAAUGGGGAAAGAAUUAUGUGAACUUCUUGGAAUUGUGUGUUUUCAAGGACCAGCCAGUAUUAAAAUUUCUAUCUUGUCUGGACUUAAAAGCAUCCUCUUUCGGUUUCAACAUUUAAUAUUGCUUGGGUUGCUGUUUGGAUUCUCCAUGGAUCUUUUCUGGAUUGCUUUUCAGAAUUGUCUCUUGAAAUACUUUUACCAUUAUAUCUAGUGCUGUGCACGCAGGGGUUCUGGCCAGGCAGGGGAUUCUUUGUCUUCAUAAUGUUGCUGUUAUUUUUGGUGAACAGAGUUAGGUGGUGAAGGUCGGAUUAUCAGAUAGAUUUUUCAGAAAAUUGUGGACUUGUGAUUGCAAAGAAUUUUGGAUAACUUCAUUUUCUUGUUAUGUCGUUGAGGCUGUUUUUCCUUUUGGAAUGACACAGAUGAUCCAAUUUUUUUGCUAUAUUUUUAUCCAUGAAUUUCUAGUUCUGGUUGUCAUGUCUUUCUGGACGUUCUAGUUAUGGUGCCUGCUCCCUUUUCGAACCAUUCCUUUCUUUAAAUACUCCUUCCGGGGUUGCUGAAGAUGGUUUCAGAGAUGACAGAUUUUUUUUAUGGCUUCCUGCACUUGCACAAGGUGGUUUCCAUUAGUUUAGCCAGUGAGGCAAGUCAGUACAGCCAGUCACUGAAGUGCUUCUUCGUUAUUGCACCAUUGUCUUGACUCAAUCACUGCCAUAGUCCCCGCGUAGGGUGCGGCUAAUUAUUUUCAUUGGUUAUGUAGAUUACAUCAAAUAGCAUCUAUUUCCUCGCCAAAAUGAAGCAGCAUCUAUGGCUUAGGGAUCUUUUAGUAUAAGAGGUGAUUGCUGCUUGUAUAAUUGCAGUCUUGCAAGAUCUUGUAAUGGUGAAGAUGGUUUUUGUUCAUGGGGGUUUGAGGGUGUUUUUCAAAUUUAUUACUUAACAAUUUUUUCUUCAUGACUCUCUGAACUUACUCUUCCUAAUGGUUUGUCAGUCCUCAUCUGAUUUCAUAUUAUAGGUUGUAGAUUGGGAAAGAUUUCGGGGAAUCAGGACUUGGUUUGCAAUUCAGGAGAGAGAAUGAAAUGGAUGCAAAUGAUUAAUUGACAAAGGGUUAGAGCACAGAUUUGUGUGCAAGCUGGAGCAGAACAAAACGUAAGGCAAGCCUGAUAUUUAAUAAAGAAAGAGGAAUGCUUUUCUGGGCUAGGGGGAAAACGCCAACUUCUUGGAAUUGCCACAGUGCCAGGCAUCUUUCUUUUUUGGAAUUUAUCUUGGUACGAUCACUUAGUGGAGUUUCAGUUGUUCCACAAAGUACAUCCAAAAUUGAUACACAAAUAUUUUUAGUUUGGUCUGUGCACUGUGAACUUAAAUUUGGUCUCGGUGUUUUUCGUGGUGGCCAUAACUAGGCAUUGAUGUCCACUUUUAUAGAGAAGUAUCGUAUGGUUGUGAUAAGAACUCCAUCAGUCCAUUUUGAGGUUGGUGCUUAUUUUUGACUGGAGUGCCUUAAUAUUAGUUCCUUUGGGGUGUUUCUCUUCAAAGAUCCUUCUGUUUCCUUUCCUUAUUUCUGCUCCAGUAUAUUAAUUGCUACCAAGAUACUGUCUGUUGUUGGAGUUCGAGAUUGUGUUUUACAAUAGUAUUUUCUACUACUGGAUGAGGCAUGAUUCAAAAGAUCUGGUCUGUAUGCUUUUUUUAUAGGGCAUUAACUCAUGAUUAUUUUUAACGUCAUGAAAUGUAUUCUACUUAUGUCAUGAAAAUGUACUGUACUGUUGUUGUCGUUGAAGCAUCUUUCGAGAAACAUCAUCUUCAAGGAAUAUUUAAAGGAUGAUUUAUUUGUUCACCCACACAAACAGAAUGGGGGGGGUUGGAGUUUAGAUGCCAGUAGUUCUGUUCUCAGAUUCUGUUGCUGUCUAACAGAUAGUUUAUGCUGGAGGGGACUCUUUCUAUGAGGGAACCCUUGAUAAUUUUUAUAUUGCAGUUAUCUACUGCUGGCCUUUGUAAUCUUAAUUAUCAGGUGGAUUUUUCCUUUUUCAGUUUGGCUAAAGAAAAUCGCAGAAUUUUCUAAAUUAGUUUCAUUUGUGGGAGCUCCACUUUUCCCA